UCUCCCAACCCUUGUACCAGUGAGUUCUGGACAGCACUGGCACAGCGGAUGGAGGGGA
rnacentral:pre_miRNA from 1 species